rnacentral:rRNA from 1 species
UACGUAGGGGGCUAGCGUUGUCCGGAAUCAUUGGGCGUAAAGCGCGCGUAGGCGGCCCGGUAAGUCCGCUGUGAAAGUCCAGGGCUCAACCCUGGAAAGCCGGUGGAUACUGCCGGGCUAGAGUCCGGAAGAGGCGAGUGGAAUUCCUGGUGUAGCGGUGAAAUGCGCAGAUAUCGGGAAGGAACACCUAUGGCGAAGGCAGCUCGCUGGGACGUUACUGACGCUGAGACGCGAAAGCGUGGGAGCAAACAGG